AGGGUUAAUUUCUCCAUUUUAUAAAGUACUGCCAGCAAGAUUCUGGAAGAGUUUUGGUCUUUGCUGAUGAAACGGAAACUCAGAGAGUAGCGACAAGAAGAAUGGAUGUUUCUCCUGUAAAUGUACCACAGGGUCUGUUGACAUUCCAGAAUGUGGCUUUGAACUUCUCCCCAUGAAGAGUAGGAAUUUCUGGACUCUGCUCAGAAGACCUUGUGCAUGGAUGUGGUGUUGGAGAAUUAUAGCAAUCUAGUCUUGUGGAUAAAGAUGCUUUUCUUAUAGAAUGCCUGAUACAUCCUUUUAUUUGCCUGUUUUGUAUAUAUGUAAUAUAUAUACAAAAUAUUCCAGAAACUCCAGAAAUAUCCAGAGACUCCCAGAUAUAAGAGGAAUUUUGGAAAUAAAACA